rnacentral:rRNA from 1 species
GCUUGUUUAUAGNAAGAUAACAGAUANAUAUGGGCUUCGGGGCGUCCCGGGGGCUUUCUCCCCUAACUCUUCACCCAUUGUCUACAUACCUUUGUUGCUUUGGCGGACCUCGGGAUUCCUCCCGCGCUGGCUUUCGGGUUGGUAAGCGUCCGUCAGAGGCCCAUUCAAAUCCUUUUUAUCAGUGUCGUCCGAGUAUAUAAAAAUAUUCAAAACUUUCAACAACGGAUCUCUUGGUUCCAGCAUCGAUGAAGAACGCAGCGAAAUGCGAUAAGUAAUGUGAAUUGCAGAAUUCAGUGAAUCAUCGAAUCUUUGAACGCACAUUGCGCCCCUCGGUAUUCCGGGGGGCAUGCCUGUUCGAGCGUCAUUGCACCCCUCAAGCGUAGCUUGGUAUUGGGCCUUCGCCCCCGCGGCGUGCCCGAAACGCAGUGGCGGUCCGACGUGACUUUAAGCGUAGUAAAUUUUCUCCCGCUUUGAAAGCUCGCGUCGUGACCGGCCAGACAACCCCAUUAGCUUCAAUAAUUGACCUCGGAUCAGGUAGGGAUACCCGCCGAACUUAAGCAUAUCAAUAAGCGGAGGAACG